rnacentral:lncRNA from 10 species
AUGACUACACACCUUCCCUUGACUAAAUGGAAUCAAUCCUUCCUGCCUGAAUUUCAUCCAUUCAUCAUGCUCUCACAGUGGCUGACACACAGUCAGGUUCCCUAUAAGGAGACCCUAAAACAAGUAUUCACGUGCAAGUAACUUAUUAAGGAUGUGCUGCCAGUGAGGGAGCGGGAGAAGUCGUACAACAGAGUAGAAGCAGCCCAGGAAGGACACAAUUUUAAGAACAUCCCGUGACCAGCGGCUCAGUCUGAUCCUGUGGGGAGCUCUGAGGGGAGAAGAGUACUAGCGGCCAUCUCCAGAGACAAGAAGAAAAAGAAUUUCAGAGGCUCAGAGGAAAGUUCAAUAUGGCCCCAUGGCAAGAAAUACAGGCAUGCUGGCUCCAGGUGGACUUGUCACCCUAAGAUAAAAGUUGGAGGCAACUAAGGAAAACCACUGUGGCUGUAGAGAUGGAUGAGUGUGAAUUUAUAAGGACAGAAGGGGGUACCUGAGCCUCCAGGGAUGGUGACAAAAGUAAGGCAAACCCAAAAGAGGAGGAAUGUUGAGCCUGGAAUGAGCUGAGGUGUGCAGGUGGCGUGAGGUAUACACACAUGCACCUCAGCCUAGAAUGAGAUGAGGUAUGUGAACU